AAUGAACGCUGGCGGCGUGCUUUACACAUGCAAGUCGAGCGAGGCGGCCCGCAAGGGCUAGUCGAGCGGCGAACGGGUGAGUAACGCGUGGAUUAUCUGCCCUGAGGUGGGGGAUAACCCGGGGAAACUCGGGCUAAUACCGCAUAUGACCGUGAGGUCAAAGGGGGGUCGGCAAGAUCUCUCGCCAUAGGAGGAGUCCGCGUACGAUUAGCUAGU
rnacentral:rRNA from 1 species